ensembl:lncRNA
CCCCUAAUAUAGCGUGGUGGGAGAGCCGAAGGAAUACUUAUUGAAGUAGUCACAACGACGACAUCACUAGCUAGGCCGCAUAUUCCAUCGCCAGAUCCGAACCAAGCGAAGUGAAGGAAGACGGGUGUCCUUUUCGUACACUGAGUGUGGUGGGUGAGUCUUCGUGCUGUGAAAACCUAUAAUUUUGACGUGGUGUUGUAUAUUGCUGUGGGCUGCUGUGUAUUGUCGUGUGUCCUGUCAGAUAAACCCCCGCCUUCAUGCACUUCGUCGCGGGAGGACAAGGAGACUGCUGGUCCUAGCCUAGUUCAGUACAGUAUAUGUUGUGAGCGUGCUUCAGAUCUCCGGAGAUAGCACGGUACGCUGUGUCCAGCCCAGAGGUGAAAGCCAUCCAAAGCAGAGUAACUGUGCUUUGUGUCCAAGUUGAUACCUGUGGAGAGGAAAGGAAAGAGAGAUUGAUAUCUGUGGAGAGAAAAGGAGAGAGAGUGG